UACAGAGGUCUCAAGCGUUGUUCGGAUUUAUUGGGCGUAAAGGGUGCGUAGGCGGCGCGGUAAGUCGGGUGUGAAAUCUCGGAGCUUAACUCCGAAACUGCAUUCGAUACUGCCGUGCUUGAGGACUGGAGAGGAGACUGGAAUUUACGGUGUAGCGGUGAAAUGCGUAGAUAUCGUAAGGAAGACCAGUGGCGAAGGCGGGUCUCUGGACAGUUCCUGACGCUGAGGCACGAAGGCCAGGGGGAGCAAAACGGGG
rnacentral:rRNA from 1 species